GGGGAAUAUUGGACAAUGGAGGAGACUCUGAUCCAGCAAUUCUGUGUGCACGAAGACGGUUUUCGGAUUGUAAAGUGCUUUCAGCAGGGAAGAAGAAAGUGACGGUACCUGCAGAAGAAGCGACGGCUAAAUACGUGCCAGCAGCCGCGGUAAUACGUAGGUGGCAAGCGUUGUCCGGAAUUAUUGGGCGUAAAGCGCGCGCAGGCGGAUUGGUCAGUCUGUCUUAAAAGUUCGGGGCUUAACCCCGUGAUGGGAUGGAAACUGCCAAUCUAGAGUAUCGGAGAGGAAAGUGGAAUUCCUAGUGUAGCGGUGAAAUGCGUAGAUAUUAGGAAGAACACCAGUGGCGAAGGCGACUUUCUGGACGAAAACUGACGCUGAGGCGCGAAAGCCAGGGGAGCGAACGGGAUUAGAUACCCCGGUAGUCCUGGCCGUAAACGAUGGGUACUAGGUGUAGGAGGUAUCGACCCCUUCUGUGCCGGAGUUAACGCAAUAAGUACCCCGCCUGGGGAGUACGACUGCAAGGUUG
rnacentral:rRNA from 1 species